GCACAAUUGUUUUUUGAGGCAAAAGAAAUAUAUAUAUAUAUAUAUAACUCUUUACAAUGAGUUUUUGGUGAUUCGCUUAUUUACUUAAUUUAGAAACUAAAAAUAGUUCUAAUUUCAUAAGAUAACAUAACAUAAAAAAUUAUAAGAUUAAUUUGAUGGUUAAAGAGAAGAAAAAAAUUAUGAAUUUAAAUUCCUCCUAUUAACCUUUGCCGAUAAAAAAAAAAUAAGUUAGUUAAAAAAUUAAUAACUGCACAAGUGUUUAUUGUGAAGCUUAAUUUCUUGAUCCUUGUAUAUAUAUUGAGAGCAUGUGCACAAUAAUAAAGAAAAAAAAUACAAAUACUGUAAGACUCCAUCUUAUAUUCAAAUAACAUGAAGGUGAAUGUUUUCAGAAUAGUUUUGACAAUGAUUAAUUAUGAGAAGAAAUCUCUAUAAUUAAGGCGUCAAUAUGCCCAAUUUGGCAAGUUAUAAAUUCUAAGCCCAAGGUUUUCCUGAAUACGUGUUAUGACAUACAUAUAGUGGGGUGAUUUCUUAAAAACAAGGUAACAACACAAUCACUAAUCAGAUUGCAAAUAUUAUGGAUUAGUUAAUAAACUGAACUUCUCAUUCCUCUUGAUUAAUCGUGGCAUGUUAUCCCUAUAGAAAUGUCUUUCGGGGUUUAAGGGAACUAGAACAUGCUGAAGCAAAAAAAAUUAGAAGUAAAUCUUCAAGUUUGUUGAUUAGUACGCACUUACAUAUGUAUGUGUAUUCGGUUUGCUGCUGUGCUUGAAGUGCAGUUCCCAGUCAUUGUUUGUCUUCAUGACACAACGCCACUGCCAUUAUUAGCUUAAAGUUGAGACAAACAAACACUAAUUAACUAGUAAAGAAGACAUAGGAGUAGAUGACAAAUUAAAGACUAAAGAGACUGCAAUAUGAGAUUAGUGCUUACCAUUUUUACUCUGGUUAAAUUAUAUAUGCAUCAAUGUCAAAUGUGGAAACAGAUAUAGUAUAUCAUCUAGAGAAAAGAAAUAUGAAAUCCUCAUAUAUUGCUCAAGUUAGCAGCCACAUUCAGACAAAUUAAAUGUCAUUGCGAACCAAUUUAUAACAGGUGAUCUGACAUACACUAAUUGUGUAUGAAUUUGGAAGCAAGUGGUAAUU
rnacentral:lncRNA from 1 species